AGAGUACUCCCUCCGUACAACAAAAGAUGUCUCAAGUUUGUCAAAUUUUGGAUGUAUCUAUGUAUGACUUAGUGUAUAGAUGCAUUCAAAUUUAGUCAAAGUUGAGACAUCUUUUCUUAGACAGAGUGAGUAUAUC
rfam:Brachypodium distachyon strain Bd21 chromosome 1, whole genome shotgun sequence.